rnacentral:lncRNA from 1 species
UGGAAGUUAUUUAAAUAUAUUUUUUAUUUAACAGAUCAAGAGUCAAUCUACGCCGUAAAAAUUCGGUCCCGCCAGAUUAACGGCUCAUAAAAUCUAGUUAACGUGAGAUUUUCUAGAGAGUCACAAAUUCAAGAGUCAAUCUACGCCGUAAUAAUUCGGUCCCACCAGAUUAACGGCUCAUAAAAUCUAAUUAACGUGAGAUUUUCUAGAGAGUCACAAAUUAGUACAAGUAUAGAUAGAUAGUACGGAGACCAUCUCCCUGGUCAAGGGCAGGAAAAACAACAGGUCCAAGUAUGCAUUUUUUUAUCAGAGAUAUCAAAACUAGUAUGUGGAAAUGCGAUCCUUGUAUUACUCAUAUUCCUGGGAGAUGUCUGUAUACUUGCUGGGGAAAGGCUAAGAAGAACCUGAUAGGUAUCAUGUACGACGUGGGUCAUUGAUCUAGCUAGACAUUCCUGCAGUGCAAGCGAGAUGCCAGUUAUAUGCAAUCCCUCAAUUCUGGAUGCCUUCCAAGCGUAUAGGUAGUUUGCUGAAUCGAAAAGCAGGGCAAGCGGGGUCAUACUAGACUAUGGUCCAUCGUGACUAUCCGGACAAAUGAGCACCCUUCCCUAGUGGAUGCAUGCAGUCAGUAUAGCAUCAUACAAUCUACCUAGCUAUCUGUCUAUUUGAUUUAUUUAUUCUCAUUACAAGAGCUCUCUCCUAACAACAAGUAAUUACUAGUCAUGUAUGUAUUGCCUACUUGCUAUUUUUAUGUGCCUUUUUUGGAGGGAAAGAGAUAUUUAUUACAUUCGUACAAGGUUACAGUCAGCUAACUAAUACUACACUCUUUGUUGGGGAGCUCUUUUAUGGUACCCAGGCACAAAUAUUGGCCGUCCAUUUAUGAAAUCUAAUGAUGUUGACCUCUCUAUGCUGCUUCAAUUUGGUAACUGAAUCACGAGCGGUAUGCUUGCACCGCUU